rnacentral:rRNA from 1 species
AACGAACGCUGGCGGCAGGCCUAACACAUGCAAGUCGAACGCUGUAGCAAUACAGAGUGGCAGACGGGUGAGUAACGCGUGGGAACGUGCCUUUCGGUUCGGAAUAACUCAGGGAAACUUGAGCUAAUACCGGAUACGCCCUUCGGGGGAAAGAUUUAUUGCCGAAAGAUCGGCCCGCGUCCGAUUAGCUAGUUGGUGUGGUAAUGGCGCACCAAGGCGACGAUCGGUAGCUGGUCUGAGAGGAUGAUCAGCCACACUGGGACUGAGACACGGCCCAGACUCCUACGGGAGGCAGCAGUGGGGAAUAUUGGACAAUGGGCGCAAGCCUGAUCCAGCCAUGCCGCGUGAGUGAUGAAGGCCCUAGGGUUGUAAAGCUCUUUCGCCAGGGACGAUAAUGACGGUACCUGGAUAAGAAGCCCCGGCUAACUUCGUGCCAGCAGCCGCAGUAA